rnacentral:rRNA from 1 species
AUUGAACGCUGGCGGCAUGCCUUACACAUGCAAGUCGAACGGCAGCACGGGUUCUUGCACCUGGUGGCGAGUGGCGAACGGGUGAGUAAUACAUCGGAACAUGUCCUGUAGUGGGGGAUAGCCCGGCGAAAGCCGGAUUAAUACCGCAUACUAUCUACUGAUGAAAGCGGGGGUCCUUCUGGCCUCGCCCUAUAGGGUUGGCCGAUGGCUGAUUAGCUAGUUGGUGGGGUAAAGGCCUACCAAGGCGACGAUCAGUAGCUGGUCUGAGAGGACGACCAGCCACACUGGGACUGAGACACGGCCCAGACUCCUACGGGAGGCAGCAGUGGGGAAUUUUGGACAAUGGGCGAAAGCCUGAUCCAGCAAUGCCGCGUGUGUGAAGAAGGCCUUCGGGUUGUAAAGCACUUUUGUCCGGAAAGAAAUCCUUGGCCCUAAUACGGUCGGGGAAUGACGGUACCGGAAGAAUAAGCACCGGCUAACUACGUG